rnacentral:rRNA from 1 species
UACGAAGGGGCUGAGCGUUGUUCGGUGAAUUACUGGGCGUAAAGCGCGCGCAGGCGGUCCUUUAAGUCAGGGGUGAAAGCCCAGAGCUCACUCUGGAACUGCCUUUGAAACUAGAGGACUUGGGUACGGGAGAGGUGAGUGGAAUUCCGAGUGUAGAGGUGAAAUUCGUAGAUAUUCGGAAGAACACCAGUGGCGAAGGCGGCUCACUGGCCCGUUACCGACGCUCAGGCGCGACAGCGUGGGGAGCAAACAGG